UAGUAGUCAUAUGCUUGUCUCAAAGAUUAAGCCAUGCAUGUCUAAGUCCAAGCUGUGUUUACACGGCGAGACCGCGGACGGCUCAUUAAAUCAGUCGUUGUCCAAAUGGGCCAGUACCAAUUACUUGGAUAACUGUGGUAAUUCCAGAGCUAAUACAUGCAACUUAUACUCCGACGCGCGCUCUUCGGAGCCGCUGACGGGUGCUUUUAUUAGACCAAACUGCUGGGGCGUUUCCUUCGGGAUUCGCCUGAUUCGCUGUGUGGUGACUCUGGAUAACCUUUCUGACAAGCGCACGUACCUCCAUGCGGGGACGGCGCUGCCACUUUCGAGUGUCUGCCUUAUCAGCUGUCAACCGCUCGCUACACGCGACCGAUGGCUUUGACGGGUAACGGGGAAUCAGGGUUCGAUUCCGGAGAGGCAGCUCUGAGAGACGGCUACCACGUCCAAGGACGGCAGCAGGCACGCAAAUUACCCAAUCCCAGCACACCUGGGGGAGGUAGUGACGAAACAUAACGAAGCGUGCGCCCUUUUCGGGUCUCGCUAUCGGAAUGAGCACUUUUCUAAACACCCUGUUGAGAACCUACUGAAGGGCAAGUCUGGUGCCAGCAGCCGCGGUAAUUCCAGCUUCAGUAGCAUAUAUUAAAGUUGCUGCGGUUGAAAGGCUCGUAGUUGAAUGUCUGUUCCAAGCAGCGACUGGAGGACGUUGGAGUUGUUGUUGCUGCCUCCGCGGUACGCACACACACACUCCCGUCCGUUAAAUCCACCGCUCUUGUGUACAAAAAAGGCGUCUCCCGACACGCAAGUGUCCUGACGCCAGUGUCACCCUGAGUAAAUCAGAGUGCUCAAAGCAGUCGUAAAGGGCUUGUCCCAGUUAACGUACGGCGCGGGUCGCUGCUCCUAGCGGGUGGCGUGCUCGUGUCCAUAGGACAGACUUGGUUUUGCAUGGUAUGUCGGAAUACGACGCCGGGCGCUGGUUAACGAGUCGUAGCAGUGGUUGAGCCAGCCCCGGCGUAAUGAUUAAAAGGGCUUGUCGAGGGCAUUGGUAUUGCGGAGCGAGAGGUGAAAUUCUAUGACCUCCGCAAGACCUCCUGAAGCGAAAGCGUCUGCCAAGGAUGUUUUCAUUAAUCAUGAACGAAAGUUAGAGGAUCGAAGGCGAUCAGAUACCGCCCUAGUUCUAACCCUAAACGAUGCCAACCAUAAUCCGCUGAGCACCCUUCUUGACGGGCUCGGCGGGCAGCUCCUACCUUACGGAAACCAGAGUCUCUGGGUUCCGGGGGGAGUCUGGUUGCAAAGCUGAAACUUAAAGGAAUUGACGGAAAGGCACCACCAGGCGUGGAGGCUGCGGCUUAAAUUUGACUCAACMACGGGCAAUCUCACCAGGCCAGGACUCUAGCAUGAUUGACAGAUUGAGAGCUCUUUCUCGAUUCAGUKGAUGGKGGKGMAUGGCCGUUCUUAGUUGGUGGAGUGACUCUGUCUGGUUAAUUCCGAUAACGAACGAGACUCUCCCCUGCUAACUAGUCGGUUGGAUCUUGAAAUGCGAGUCCGCAGUAGCAGGUCUUCUCUCCGCGGGAUGUGCGGCGGUGGUCAGCUUGGCUCUGGGUGCGUGUGUCUGUUGCCGUAAGGUGAUGGUGCCGUGCUCGGGUCUGGCGCUGUCGUGUCUUGCUGCCUGUGUUGGGGGUUUUCUUGCCUGCACUCCAAGUCCGCCGGCCUUCAUGGUCUUAAAGAUUUCUUCUUAGAGGGAUAAACGGCUCUGAAGCCGUCAGAGACUGAGAGCAAUAACAGGUCUGUGAUGCCCUUAGAUGCUCUGGGCCGCACGCGCGCUACAAUGCUGGGCACAGCAGGUGUUUCUUCCUGCUCCGAGAGGAGCAGGUAACCCUCUGAAAGCCCUUUGUCGAUCCCUCUCUUCCCGCAUUCUCGUUGGCCUCGUGUCUCGGUUUGUGGGAGAGAGCAGCGUGCUUGGGCCUGGGGCUUGCAAUUAUUCCCCACAAACGAGGAAUGCCUAGUAGCGGCGGGUCACUGAGCCCGCCGUGACUGAGUCCCUGCCCUUUGUACACACCGCCCGUCGCUACUACCGAUUGGGUGUACCAGUGAGAGCCUUGGAKCUGGCGGAUCCAGCCCYGUCAAAGGUGGUAUCACAGAGUGAAAGAGGUCCGAACUGGUGCAGG
rnacentral:rRNA from 1 species